CUCCAUCCCGCUACCCCCAAUAAAUAAAGUCUCAGCUCCAUCUCAGGGUGCUGGUGCAGGGCAGGGAUCCCUCACUGAGGAGAACCCAGGGCUACUACCUCCUUCAUAUUUCUCCCCACAUUGGACCUGGUCACAGGUCAGUGACCAACAGGGCUUCUGUGGUCCUAGUAUUCUGAGGGGGCUGGGGAGUUCAGGGUGGAGAGCUGGGGCCUGGUGGUGGCCUCCCCGUAGCCAGUCAUAGUCCGAGGCUGCCCAGGGCAGGCUCAGAGUGGGGCCUGCAUUGGGGACACUGUGCGCAUCCCAGGUCGGGGCCCAGCCUGGGCCACAGCUAGAUGUGCAGCUCCGUGUCAUCAGGUGGCUCCAGGCCAGACUCUGCACUGAGUGCCGAGGCUGAGGGACCCUGGGCCACCCCAAAUGGUGAGACAACGGGUGAGCGAGCAGCCAGAGGAGACAGAGAGGGUGAGAAGCUGGGGGACAUGGCAGCUGAGGACAGGGAGCCUUCAUGGCUGAUGGGGGAGCGGUGAGAAGCUGGUGGGAAGAUGGCCCGGGCUGCAGCUGUGUUUGCUGGCUUGGGGGGCACAGACUUGGCUCCUGGGUGGGCCACGGCAGUGAUGAGGGGUGGUGGGUCGAUACGGGGAGCUGGGGGACAUGGCCGAGCUUCAUCCUUGAGCCGAGCGAUCUCUGUGAAGACACUGGCCAGUGGCUGGAACUGAGGGCACCAGCUCAGCAGAUAGUCCCAGUUAUAGCUGCCACGGAGCUCCUCCUCGCCGGCCACAAUGGCUGUCAGCGCACCUGCCACACAUGGCUUGCCAUCUGCUGGGAAGCCAUAGUCCCCAGUGGGUGCAGGGCUCAGGCCACAGCCCCCCAGGAAG
rnacentral:antisense_RNA from 1 species